UACGUAGGGUGCAAGCGUUAAUCGGAAUUACUGGGCGUAAAGCGUGCGCAGGCGGUGAUGUAAGACAGAUGUGAAAUCCCCGGGCUCAACCUGGGAACUGCAUUUGUGACUGCAUCGCUGGAGUGCGGCAGAGGGGGAUGGAGUUCCGCGUGUAGCAGUGAAAUGCGUAGAUAUGCGGAGGAACACCGAUGGCGAAGGCAAUCCCCUGGGCCUGCACUGACGCUCAUGCACGAAAGCGUGGGGAGCAAACAGG
rnacentral:rRNA from 1 species